AUUGAACGCUGGCGGCAGGCCUAACACAUGCAAGUCGAGCGAGCGGCGGACGGGUGAGUAAUGUCUGGGAACCUGCCUGAUGGAGGGGGAUAACUACUGGAAACGGUAGCUAAUACCGCAUACCAUCAGAUGUGCCCAGAGGGGAUUAGCUAGUAGGUGGGGAAACGGCUCACCUAGGCGACGAUCCCUAGCUGGUCUGAGAGGAUGACCCGCCACACUGAAAAUGAUACACGGUCCAGACUCCUACGGGAGGCAGCAGUGGGGAAUAUUGCACAAUGUACGCAAGCCUGAUGCAGCCAUGCCGCGUGUGUGAAGAAGGCCUUCGUGUUGUAAAGCACUUUCAGCGGGGAGGCGUUACCCGCAGAAGAAGCACCGGCUAACUCCGUGCCAGCAGCCGCGGUAAUUC
rnacentral:rRNA from 1 species